rnacentral:rRNA from 1 species
UACGUAGGGCGCAAGCGUUAUCCGGAAUUAUUGGGCGUAAAGAGCUCGUAGGCGGUUUGUCGCGUCUGCCGUGAAAGUCCGGGGCUCAACUCCGGAUCUGCGGUGGGUACGGGCAGACUAGAGUGAUGUAGGGGAGACUGGAAUUCCUGGUGUAGCGGUGAAAUGCGCAGAUAUCAGGAGGAACACCGAUGGCGAAGGCAGGUCUCUGGGAAUGUCCUGACGCUGAGGAGCGAAAGUGUGGGGAGCGAACAGG